UACAGAGGUCUCAAGCGUUGUUCGGAUUCAUUGGGCGUAAAGGGUGUGUAGGUGGCGCGCUAAGUCGGGUGUGAAAUUUCGGAGCUUAACUCCGAAACUGCAUUCGAUACUGGCGUGCUUGAGGACUGGAGAGGAGACUGGAAUUUACGGUGUAGCAGUGAAAUGCGUAGAUAUCGGGAGGAACACCAGUGGCGAAGGCGGCAUCCUGGCCAUGUCCUGACGCUCAGGGGCGAAAGCGUGGGGAUCAAACAGG
rnacentral:rRNA from 1 species